CCUACGGGAGGCAGCAGUAGGGAAUAUUGCUCAAUGGGGGAAACCCUGAAGCAGCAACGCCGCGUGGAGGAUGAAGGUUUUCGGAUUGUAAACUCCUUUUGUUAGAGAAGAUAAUGACGGUAUCUAACGAAUAAGCACCGGCCAACUCCGUGCCAGCAGCCGCGGUAAUACGGAGGGUGCAAGCGUUACUCGGAAUCACUGGGCGUAAAGAGCGCGUAGGCGGGUUAGCAAGUCAGAUGUGAAAUCCUAUGGCUUAACCAUAGAACUGCAUUUGAAACUGUUAUUCUAGAGUAUGGGAGAGGUAGGUGGAAUUCUUGGUGUAGGGGUAAAAUCCGUAGAGAUCAAGAGGAAUACUCAUUGCGAAGGCGACCUGCUAGAACAUAACUGACGCUGAUGCGCGAAAGCGUGGGUAGCAAACAGGAUUAGAUACCCCUGUAGUC
rnacentral:rRNA from 1 species